CCGUAGCUCUAGGAGCAGCUUCCUCCCUCCUCUCUGUGUUUAGCUGCCUGUUGCUAAUUUAGCUGCAGUGUAUUUAGGCACGGCAAGCAUGCUUCAGAAUAAGCUCGUGCUUCCUUGGUAAUUGGAUCAUAUUACUGCAGGAAGUGCUGCUGGGCGGUUAGCUGAAAACUUUGGCGCACGUGCUUCUUCUUUGGGCUGACGGGUUAUUCUCUUGGAAGAUUUCUUCUUUCACUUCUCUUACACUUGGGUUGCUGUGAUGGACUCACUCCUAUUUGAGGUUUUGUAGUUGUGUUUGAGUGUAUAGUUUGUUUAUUCUCCAUCGUGAACCUAGUCAAAAUGGUAUCUGUGCUAAGUUUAACUGUCAAGUGGUGAUUUUCCCAGCCAGUUAAACUUACUGGGUUUUUAAUAUGUUAAAUAUUAGCUUAUUUCUAUUCUUUAAGAUAAAUGUCAAGUUGCUUAUUAAAUAUUUAUGUUUAUUUUUUGUACAUGUCUUUGAACUUUUAGUAAAUCUGUUACCUGAACCUCAUUUCACAUCUGACUAUCUCAUUUCACAUCAUUUCACGUCUUAUUCUGUUUACGUUUUUCUCCUUUUCACUGGAUCCUCUGAAUUUCGAGAUCAAUUAAGUGACGCAAUGAGAAAAAUGCUACCUUUAAGCUAAUGCUACAGCGGGAAACUGGCGUCCCAGCGCAACUGCAGAGAUCGACAGGGGACUAUUUUUGGCACAACACCAGCAAACUCCAGCUGUAAGUUUACAUCAUAAAUACAACAGUUAGUUCCGACCUCACAAUCUGAUUGGAUGAAGUGUUCGAACCGUGCUCAGAGCCGUAGAGAUCAAUAUUUAGAACUAGGCCUGAGCUCCUAUGGAUGAAGGUAAAUGUCUAUCCAAUU